rnacentral:tRNA from 4 species
CAAGACGUAGCUAUAAUCCCUA